CCGAGUUAGGGUUCGUCCAACGAGCCCGACCUCCCAACCCUUUGUCUAUUCUACCUUGUCGUUGCUUCGGCGGACCGGCCGCGACCAACUGGUCGUGGCCGCCGGGGGUCCAUCUCCUGGAGAGCGUCCGCCGAUGGCCCAACCACAAACUCUUGUAUCAAACCAUGUCGUCUGAAUUACUUGAUUAAAAUCAAAAACA
rnacentral:misc_RNA from 1 species